rnacentral:rRNA from 1 species
UCUCCGGGCGUCCGAGUUGUAAUCUAUAGAAGCGUUUUCCGCGCCGGACCGUGUAUAAGUCUCCUGGAACGGAGUAUCAAAGAGGGUGACAAUCCCGUGCUUUACACGACGACCGGUGCUAUGUGAUACGUUCUCUACGAGUCGAGUUGUUUGGGAAUGCAGCUCAAAACGGGUGGUAAACUCCAUCUAAAGCUAAAUAUUGGUGGGAGACCGAUAGCGAACAAGUACCGUGAGGGAAAGAUGAAAAGCACUUUGGAAAGAGAGUUAAACAGUAUGUGAAAUUGUUGAAAGGGAAACGAUUGAAGUCAGUCGUGUCCAUCGGGUUCAGCCGGUCCUGCCGGUCUACUCCCUUUGGACGGGUCAACAUCAGUUCUGACCGGCGGAUUAUGGCACGAGGAACGUGGCACCCUCCGGGGUGUGUUAUAGCCUCGCGUCGACAUACGCUGGUCGGGACUGAGGAACGGCAGCUCGCCUUC